CGGAUUCAAAGUAUGAAUAAUGAUGAGCACGGAUUUCAAAGCAUGAAUAAUGAUGAGCACGGAUUUCAAAGCAUGAAUAAUGAUGAGCACGGAUUUCAAAGCAUGGGAUAAUGACAAAAGUUUUAUGAUGCAUAGCCAUGUUUAUGAAGUUGCAUAAAUGGACAUGCAUAGUUUAUAUGACUGGUUUGUUAUAUGAAAUGCUUACUUUGUUACAACUGUUAGUUUCUUAAAUUAAUGCACUAGUAUGAGAAAAUAUUAUGAUUGAUCAGAUAAAAUUAUGCAUGGUUACUUACUGAGCUUUAUAGCUCAUACCCAUUUAUUUAUGUUCUUACAGAUGAAUAGGAGAUGCUAGGAACGAGGAGCGUGACAUGCUUCAGGGUUAUGGGGAAAAGAAAAUGACACAUUAAAUGUUGCUAUUUUUAGAUGCUUUGUAAUCAAUCUUUUAUUGAUGAAACAUUUGAUAACAUUCAAG
rnacentral:lncRNA from 1 species